rnacentral:lncRNA from 1 species
GCUGAAAGGGUAACGACGCGAAUUAAAGGAAAGAGAAAAACAAAAAAUCAAAAGAAAGAUCAAAAAGCUAGUACAUACCUUGCUCGGGGGCAGCACUCUUCUGGGAGCUUGGAGCUCCCUGAGCGCCUCCCGGAGCACCGAUGGUCGUCGGGUGGAUCCCCGUCUCCCCAACGGUUGGCGUAGGGGCUUCAACGGUGGUCUCGGCCCACGGCUCCUCUGCCGAGCCUUCCACCUCCGCCCCAGGCGUUAGGUGGGGCUCAGUUGGGCCCCCCCGGCGCCACCGGCUGUGGGGGCAUCUCGGAUCCGCCGCCCGGCGCCCUUUCCCCCUCUUGGGGACCCUG